rnacentral:lncRNA from 1 species
UUCAGACUGCCCAUAGUAUUUCACUAGUUGGGUCCUUCAAAUUCUUCUGUAUGGCUCACAUGAACACAGAAUAUCUCACUCCUCCCACUGUUUCUUUUGGAAGAUGGUUAAGCUACUAAACUAACAAGAAGGUGGUUACCUUUUUAAAAUUCUGAUUAAGAUCCUAGACAGAAAGUCAAUUUUUUCCAAAAUUUUGGAAAGUCAAUUUUGGAAAACGGGCAGUACGAACUGUCACUACAAAAAGGAUGCAGAAUGGGUGAUUAGAUUGAGGUUCCCCAGUGAUAUUUAAUUAUUAACCAUAUGAUUGUAAUUUCUUGUUUUUUUUUCUUUUACAAAAUAAGAUGUGGGUAGACUGAGGGAGUAGGGUUGAAGGGGACUGAAUGGAUGAAGAAUCACCUUUGGCGCUAUAAAUAUAUGUUUACAUAUAAUUUCAAGUGCUAAACAAAGGUUAGGCAGUAGUAAUAUAUUAUUACUACAGUUAUUCCAGGGAGUUUUGGCUUCCCUCAUUUUAGCCUUUAGGGGACCUAAAUUCUUUCUCUCGGUGUGAGAUCAGUAUACCUUUUCAUCCUUCCUACUUUCUACUGGCAAGAUACUGACUGGUCAUUUGUGUUAUCAUGACAAAGUAGUGUCCUGCUUCCUAAAAAAGUCACAAGAACUUGUGAUAUUAGAAUAAUGUGGGUUCAGAUAUUUGCAAUUAAGCUCAAUAAUUCUUCUGCAUAAUAGUAAUAGUAAUAGUAAUAAUAAUGGCUGUUCUGAGUAAUAGAACAGCCAUUCCCAAAAAAUUACAGCUUCAUUUACCCUACCUCCAAUUCAUCAUUGAAGUUUUAAUGUCUACUCCAAAAGCUGUGAAUUACCAUCACAGAAGCAUGUCUUCACUCAGGGUGGGCAGAGUAGAUUUCUUGGAAGUAGAGAUCUUGUUUAACUGCUGAAAAAAAUUUUUUUAUUUGAUUGAGUUACAGCUUGACUGGCAUGAAUGAGUUGCUAUCCAUACCAUUGGUGACACUGCCUAUCAAAGUAAUAUUGAAAUUUUUGAAGCUGAGUAAGUAGAAGAAAUUUAAGUUAUUAAAACCAGAUGAAAGUGCUUGAGUGUUCAGGAACAUGAAUAACAUAAACUCCAUCAGAGGGCAGCUCAUGAAUUCUUGCUUACUAAAUAAGGCAAGUAUUUAUUGAGUACUGUUAUGUAUCCAAAUCUUUCUUCAGAUUGUAAAAAACAAUAUUCCAAAAGCUUCUGUAUGGAAUAUGCUGAACAUUGAUAUAGUUCAUGGUUUUGUUUUUAAAUAAUCCUCCAAAAAAGCCACUGGCAUUCAACAUGAAUUGUCCUGUUGCCAUGACAACCCUCCACUUGCUUUUUUUCCCUUUAGAAGCAAACUAGCCCUCCAUCCAUCAAUGAUAAAAACUAUGCCUUAUAAUUUUCUUUGCUCAAUUACUGAUAAUUAGGAUUUCAGCAUCCCCAAUAUAAAUUGAUAAUAUAAUUAGCUAGAUUGGGGUAGGGAGAGAAAAGUGAAGGCAAAACUUUAUUAAUUGACUGACUAAUGCUUUAUCCUUUUAAUUUUAUCUAUUGGGCCCUUGUCUCAGAUAGUUACUUAUUUGUUAGGGCUACAUGAACAAUUACUAAAUUCAAGAAUUAUUUUGUUCACAUUUAUAUUUUGAAAACUAAUUGCUUUUUUAAAUGAAGAUCAAAUGAAAAAAAUCAAGCAAGUGAAAGUAUUGGCUGAGCCUGAGUUCAUUGGAACUUAGAAGUCCAAACUGUGAAAUUCAAAUAUUUGCAUUUUCUCCUGGCCUCUGAGCCUUAAUAAAUGGACUUUUAUUUCUAACAAGUGGGUAGCCCUCACUUUAAUAAUAUAAAUAGGACAUUAGUUUAAUUAAUUUGCACAUUAAAGUUCUUUAAGAACUAUAUUAUGUCAACUUGCUAUAUCAUCAUUUCCCAUCCUCCUGCCUUCAGGAAGGAAAAAGCCCUACCUAAUUCUUUAAAGAGAUGAUUUGCAUUGGAAAUUGGCUUCGGGUCCUCUGUAUUCAGCUCAUUUUCACAGAUAUUUCUAGCCUAUCCAUUCUGAUUGUAAAUAUACUUCCUCUUCAAAUUCAGUGGUGCCCAUGAGCUACAUUUUAUUUUUGGACUUCCAAAUUCAGAUAUGGGAGAAAUAUCUCUUUUUUGAGUUCAUGUAGUGAGUAAUUGCUGCCAAAUAUCUAUUGGCAAAAUGUAGAAAUAGUGGAAGUGAAAACCUAAGUUUUAUUACUAUGCUUGACCAUAGGUUCAGGUCUCACAGAAAACAUGAACAGUCAUAAAGAUUCUGACAAAGCUUCUUAUAGAGUUGGCAAAAGUAUAUCAGAGUAACAGAGAAAUAACAAUCUUCUUAGGUCAUAAAAGUUAAAGAAAAGACAAAUCCAUAAACCCAUAAUUCUUUUAAUGUCAUAAAAAUUGAAGACUAAAGUAGAAUCACAAUCUCAUACAUGCCCAUAAGAAACAAGCUUCAUCAAACAAUAGAUAAAUCAGGUUACAGAAUAAACUACAUUUAGAGGAUUCACAAGUAGGCUAACUGAAAAAGUAGAGAAUUUAUAAAUCACCAAAGAGUAAGGAACAGUUGCACUUCUGCCUCUGAAUUCUUAUUUAAGAAAUGCUAAGGGUCAGGUGAGGUUAAUAUUAGGAUAGAUUUCUAUUUAGUUAACCAAAAUUUGCAGGAAGAAUGGCCUUGAGUCCCAAAUAAUAAAAAGGGAAUAAAAAAUUCCUCUGACAUUGGUUUACCCAAAACCAGUUUUUUUUUCAUGUGUUUCACAGUAUUAUAUAUCUUUCUAUUGACACCAUAAUGCCUAGCCAGUUGGGUCUUUAUGUUCCUAUUAUAUAAUUAUUACUGAAGGACAUUUAGCGAACACCAAAAGAUAGCAUGGCUAGUAGG